AGAGUUUGAUCCUGGCUCAGGAUGAACGCUGGCGGCGUGCUUAACACAUGCAAGUCGAACGAGUUUAUGAUGAAACCUAGUGAUUCAUAAAUGAGUGGCGGACGGGUGAGUAACGCGUGGGUAACCCUGCCUUACACUGGGGGAUAACACUUAGAAAUAGGUGCUAAUACCGCAUAAGCGCACAGCUUCGCAUGAAAGUAGUGUGAAAAGCUCCGGUGGUGUAAGAUGGACCCGCGUCUGAUUAGCUAGUUGGCGAGGUAACGGCUCACCAAGGCAACGAUCAGUAGCCGGCCUGAGAGGGUGAACGGCCACAUUGGGACUGAGACACGGCCCAAACUCCUACGGGAGGCAGCAGUGGGGAAUAUUGGACAAUGGGGGAAACCCCUAGAUCCAGCGACGCCGCGUGAGUGAAGAAGUAUUUCGGUUAUGUAAAGGCUCUAUCAGCAGGGUAAGAAAAUGACGGUACCUGACUAAGAACGCCCCGGCUAACUACGUGCCAGCCGCCGC
rnacentral:rRNA from 1 species